rnacentral:misc_RNA from 1 species
UCAAACUUGGUCAUUUAGAGGAAGUAAAAGUCGUAACAAGGUUUCCGUAGGUGAACCUGCGGAAGGAUCAUUAACAAAUUUUGUAUUGUGAUUAGUGAGCACUGUGGGAGGGUUAAGGUGGUGGUGGUGGUGUACUGUGUUUUUAGCGUGAGCGUAAGCGAGCGUGAUUGAGCACAGUGUAAGCGAGGAAUCACUGUGAGUGUUUGAAGCGAGAGAAUGUCAGUGAGUGUGUAAGCGUAAAAGCUAGCGUAAGCAUCAGCUGUAUUCUUUAGCGUAGGCAUACACUGUGAUUUUUAGCACUAAGCGCACUCAUCACCAACCAAAACACUCCGAGUAACCGAGAAUUGUAGUGGGAUGCAACAUACUAACUAUAAAACUUUUAACAAUGGAUCUCUUGGCUCUCGCAUCGAUGAAGAACGCAGC